rnacentral:rRNA from 1 species
GGGGGGGGGGGGGGGGGGGGGGGGGGGGGGGGGGGCUGGGGGGGGGGGGGGCGGGCGGGGCGUAGCCGGGGGGGGGGGGUGGGUGGGGCGUGAGGAACUUGCCCUGCGGUCGGGGAUAACAGACGGAAGCGACGGAUCAGACCUGGUAAAGUCAGGCGGACUCAUGUCCAGCCGGAUGAAAAGCGAUGCUGCAGGAGAGCCUUGCGUCCUAUUAGCUUGUUGGUGGGGUAACGGCCCACCAAGGCGAGGAUAGGUAGCCGGCCUGAGAGGGUGGACGGCCACAAGGGGACUGAGAUACGGCCCUUACUCCUACGGGAGGCAGCAGUGGGGAAUAUUGGACAAUGGGGGCAACACUGAUCCAGCAAUUCUGUGUGAACGAUGAAGGUUUUCGGAUUGUAAAGUGCUUUCAGCAGGGAAGAAAAAAAUGACGGUACCUGAAGAAGAAGCGACGGCUAAAUACGUG